rfam:Loxodonta africana cont3.8643, whole genome shotgun sequence.
GGCAUUCCUAGGUUUGGAAGGAUAAAUCCCAUGGGAAGUCAGCUGAAGAACAUUUUAUGCAUCGCUCAUCCUGUUAUGAUCCCGUGUUGCACCAUCUCUCUACAAGG